rnacentral:lncRNA from 1 species
UUCAGGGGAGUCAGACUCGGCACCCUGGUUCUGGGAAAGCGGAUCUGCAAAGGAGAGGGUGCUCCAGAUGGUACCCCGAGCCAGCGCCACCGCUGCUCUGAGCCUGAAUCCAGCCAGCGCCGCCCCCUCCCCGGGGGGCUGUGGGGAGCAGGCUGAACUCCAUCCGACCACCUCCUGGAUGGACCCAGGGUUGUGCAGGUCUGGGAGUCAGGGGUGCUGGGACCUGGGGCUGGCCCCGUCCUUGGUUCCCUGUUGCUCCUGGGCCAAUCUACUUGCUUCUCUGGGCCUCAGUUUCUCUAUCUGUAAAGUGAAGACGUUGAUCGUUAAAGGGAAUCUUAGGUCCAGAAAGCUGUGACGCUUCGGGCCUCGUUUUCCCCGAUUAGGAUGCUCUACUUUCCGGGAUGCUGUGACGAUCCCGAGGGGCCCAGACCUGCUCCUUGGCAUGUGAGUGAAGUAAACAGGAGAAGAGGUGUCAUCACAGGCACGUGGGUGAGGACAGGGCUGGGCCCCUCCGGGCUGCUGGGAGGGAACGAGAAACCCAAGUGUCUUCUCCAGCCAGGUAGCACUGGAGGCGGAGGGCGGGUUACAAGUCUGGAGACCCUGGGUUUCUUCCCCUUAAAUUGGGGAUAGUUCCUUGGGUCUCAGUUGUGGUUCUCAGAGUAACUGUGAACUGCGGCUCCACAGCACCCCAAGGCAAGGAGGGGAACUG